rnacentral:lncRNA from 1 species
GUGGCUUGACAGGGCGAGUUGGGGGCUUCUUCCCAGUACCAGUUGGGGGUUUUAGUUUCCGAGGUGGCUUGUGAUCUGAGUCUCUUCCCCCCUCCACCACAUUCUCUUCAAGAUGACGAUCAUGAUGAGGUGGCUCAUCUCCCUUACCCUUCGGUGGCUUAUCUCCCUUACCCUUUGGAGGCUGCUCAACUGGCUUUGGUUUUGGGUCGUGUUCAGGGAAUGGCUUGUGAUCUCCAUCGUCAUUACGUUCAAGUGGGGUUGGUGGCUUCCCUUUUGGAGGUGGCUUUGGCUUCUUUCCCUUAGGAGGCAAUUUCCCAUCCAAUGACUCUGCCUCUAAUAAACGACGUCCGGUGUUUUGUUCAUUGUGAGGUGGCUUGUGCUCCGGUGGUGGCUUCUUACCCUUGGGAGGUUCAUCAUGACCUGGGGUUCCCUU